rnacentral:lncRNA from 1 species
UGAUUUAUUCAAGCACAAGGAGGUAUUGUAAGGCACAAAUAGAAAGUAUUUGGUUCUGUCAUACAGAAACUUUAAAAUCAAAUUUUAUCUCAAUUGGAAAAGGACUGUGAUCAGUAUAAGAAAAUCUUAUUUAAUAGUUGUCGAUACAUAUUUUAACUUGGAUCAACAUUGACUUAAAGUCAUUAAUAAAGCAAACAUCCCGGUCAAUACAACCUUUUAAAAAGUGAGCAAAAUAUAAUUAACGGCUAACAAAAAAUGAACUAAAAGCCAACUAUCUUCAUUUAAUUGUGUCAUUACAAGAUACCAAAACAACAAAACAGUGGCUAAAAUCUUAUCUUUCAACUAUGUCUUUGGGUUUUGCUUCCCCUAACUGGUAAUUUGCUUCUUUUUAUUGAAGGUUGAGCUGUUGCUUGUAGUUGGUUUAGAACUUCUGGAACUGGUGGCUGUGAUGAUUGUGUCUCAGAAAUUAGUGCUUGUGAAGAAAUGGGUUGUGAUGAAAGAGUAUUAACUCUUAUGUCAACACCUCUGAUUGCUGCAGCAACAGAUAAAGGGCCAUAUACCACAUUGACAGAAUUCUCCCCUAGUAUCAAUAAGACAAUAACUUUUAUUAAGACAAAAUGAAAAAUCAUAACUGAAUAUCCUAAUGUACCUCUUACCCUUGCAUAGAUAGUCCCAAUGCUAUCAGAAAUCAUCCCCCCAUAUCCUUGUCUUACCUAAUAUGUAUUAAGCUUUAUUAUAAUGAGUUGUAUAUGGAUAUCAUCACAUAUUCAUAAAAAUUAUAUUACAUUUCUCCUAUCUUCAACAAUUUCCUUCCUUAUAUUAUAUUGCUCAGAUGUUUGUUCAAAAUUUGAUGCAUAUUGAGUUGCAGUCCUUUUCUUACUUAGAAUUCCAAGUUGUCCCUUCUUCAGUCUACCUCUCUUGCCCUGCGACAAUUACAAAUAUUCAUCAUCAUCUUCCAAACCUAACCCCUUAACAUUGUCCCCAUUUUAUCCAUUCUCAAGCUCACUUUGUUUUUGUAUUGCAUCCAAGUAUUCAUCAUCAUCUGUUUUCGAAUCAUUACCUAAACUCACAUCAUCAGAUUCAGCAUUAUUGUCCCUUAUACCAUCAUCAUGAGCUUCAACAUCUAUUUCAGGACAUUCAUUCUCAUGUACUAGCACAUCAAACACAUUAUCCUCACCAAGACCAUUAAUGGUGUUAUUAUUUUGGAAUAAGUCUACUGGAUCACUCUUGAAUUCAAUAAAAGGUUUCAAAAAACUAAAGUCAACACCCUCUUCCCACAUUUGCUUUACCUCUGUAUCAUUACAAACAAGGGUCUGAUAUUGCCAAUCACCCCAAUGUUUAUACUAUCCUACUUUCAAUACAUCACCAUAUCCUAACUCUUUACAUUUUUGUACAAUAUCAGCAUAAUUAAGUUGUUCACAAUUAACCAACAGUCAAGUAUUGCUUUCCCCAGGUAUUGCCAAAUAAUUCAGAUGUAAAUAAACUACAUUUUAGUUGAGGUAAUGUUCUAAAACUCAAUAAAAUAUUCAAAGUACUAACCCAUUACUAUUUAUUUAAAUGUCUUUGACUAAAAGAAAGGAGAAUACCUUGUUUGCUUUUGGCUCAAAUAUUCCUCCCACAUUGUCCUUUUUUUGCUUGUCUUCUUCUUCCCCUGUCAUUGGCUAAACCAAUGUUGUAUACCUCUACCAGUAUUCAACUCUAUAGCAAAGCAAUAAAGAAUGUUUUCUCGCCAACGCUUUGUCUUUAACACUCUGGACCACCUCUACUGUUAAUCGAGAGUAUUUUAGUAUGGGUUUAAGGAUAAUCUCUCAAAAAAUUGCCAAAGAGGAGACCGAUUUUAAUAGUGACAGAUUUUAAUUUUAGGGUUUUUUUAUUCGGGUUAAUGGGUUAAUA